rnacentral:rRNA from 1 species
UACGGGGGGGGCAAGCGUUGUUCGGAAUUACUGGGCUUAAAGGGUUUGUAGGUGGCCGGCUAAGUCAGACGUGAAAUCCCUCAGCUUAACUGGGGAACUGCGUCUGGGACUGGUCGGCUUGAGGGCCGGAGAGGAACGCGGAAUUCCAGGUGUAGCGGUGAAAUGCGUAGAUAUCUGGAGGAACACCGGUGGCGAAGGCGGCGUUCUGGACGGCAUCUGACACUGAGAAACGAAAGCCAGGGGAGCAAACGGG